rnacentral:rRNA from 1 species
UACGUAGGUGGCAAGCGUUAUCCGGAAUUAUUGGGCGUAAAGAGCGCGCAGGUGGUUAAUUAAGUCUGAUGUGAAAGCCCACGGCUUAACCGUGGAGGGUCAUUGGAAACUGGUUGACUUGAGUGCAGAAGAGGGAAGUGGAAUUCCAUGUGUAGCGGUGAAGUGCGUAGAGAUAUGGAGGAACACCAGUGGCGAAGGCGGCUUCCUGGUCUGCAACUGACACUGAGGCGCGAAAGCGUGGGGAGCAAACAGG